CUACGGGCGGCAGCAGUGGGGAAUAUUGGACAAUGGGGGAAACCCUGAUCCAGCAAUGCCGCGUGUGUGAAGAAGGCCUGCGGGUUGUAAAGCACUUUCGGUUGGGAGGACUGCUUCUAGCACUAAUAUUGUUGGAAGUUGACGUUACCUUCAGAAGAAGCACCGGCUAACUCCGUGCCAGCAGUCGCGGUAAUACGGAGGGUGCAAGCGUUAAUCGGAAUUACUGGGCGUAAAGCGCGCGUAGGCGGCUAGAUCAGGCGGGUGUGAAAGCCCCGGGCUUAACCUGGGAACUGCAUCCGAUACUGUCUAGCUUGAGUACAGGAGAGGAGAGUGGAAUUCCACAUGUAGCGGUGAAAUGCGUAGAUAUGUGGAGGAACACCAAUGGCGAAGGCAGCUCUCUGGCCUGAUACUGACGCUGAGGUGCGAAAGCGUGGGGAGCAAACAGGAUUAGAUACCCGGGUAGUC
rnacentral:rRNA from 1 species